rnacentral:rRNA from 1 species
AGCAGCCGCGGUAAUUCCAGCUCCAAUAGCGUAUAUUAAAGUUGUUGCAGUUAAAAGCUCGUAGUUGAAUUUCGGGAUCAAUAUGUUGGUCGUGCCUCGGUACGUACUAGCAUAUUGGUUUCUCCUUUCUGAAGAACCAUGAUGUCAUUUAUUUGGUGUCGUGGGGAAUCAGGACUGUUACUUUGAAAAAAUUAGAGUGUUUAAAGCAGGCUCACGCUUGAAUACAUUAGCAUGGAAUAAUGAAAUAGGACGUUUGAUUCUAUUUUGUUGGUUUCUAGGAUCGACGUAAUGAUUAAUAGGGAUAGUUGGGGGCAUUAGUAUUCAAUUGUCAGAGGUGAAAUUCUUGGAUUUAUUGAAGACUAACUACUGCGAAAGCAUUUGCCAAGGAUGUUUUCAUUAAUCAAGAACGAAAGUUAGGGGAUCGAAGACGAUCAGAUACCGUCGUAGUCUUAACCAUAAACUAUGCCGACUAGGGAUCGGAUGAUGUUGAUUUUUUAAUGACUCAUUCGGCGCCUUACGG